GAUGAACGCUGGCAGCGUGCUUAACACAUGCAAGUCGAACGGUGAAGGCGGAGCUUGCUCUGCUGGAUCAGUGGCGAACGGGUGAGUAACACGUGAGCAAUCCGCCCCUGACUCUGGGAUAAGCGCUGGAAACGGCGUCUAAUACUGGAUACGAGCUGCGAAGGCAUCUUCAGCAGCUGGAAAGAAUUUCGGUCAGGGAUGAGCUCGCGGCCUAUCAGCUUGUUGGUGAGGUAAUGGCUCACCAAGGCGUCGACGGGUAGCCGGCCUGAGAGGGUGACCGGCCACACUGGGACUGAGACACGGCCCAGACUCCUACGGGAGGCAGCAGUGGGGAAUAUUGCACAAUGGGCGAAAGCCUGAUGCAGCAACGCCGCGUGAGGGACGACGGCCUUCGGGUUGUAAACCUCUUUUAGCAGGGAAGAAGCGAAAGUGACGGUACCUGCAGAAAAAGCGCCGGCUAACUACGUG
rnacentral:rRNA from 1 species